CCCUUGCUCAUUUAACACUGCAUCCGGGUGCCGAUGGAGAUACAGCGACCCUUGCUCACUUCUACAUGUGCCUACGCGUCCAUAAGAUUAAGCUCUAUUCGAAUGUGUCAAUAAACAUGACAAAAUAUGCGAGAAUCACAUACGUCCUAAAAAAUCACGCUUUGCCCAUAGGGCAAUUUCGUCAGUUCACAUAUUAAAAUUAUAAAAAUCAUAAUUUUUUUAGAUGGGCUGUUACAAUCUACCCAACUUAAAAAUUUCAUCCACGGAAUUUGAAAUCAUUAGCUAAAUGUAAUGUACUCCAGGAGAUAGGAAAAAGUAUAUAUAUGCAUACAUGAAAAGGCAAAAUCAAGCUAGCGCGGUAGCAGAACAGAGAAUGUCAUUCUGUUGCGAUCGGAAUGUAAUUAUUCAUCUUUCAUGCUUUCAAGCUCAACCCUUCCUUCUCUUUAUAGGUAUAAUAAUGCUAUAUAGUAGAUGGUAAAAUGAUUUCCUAAAAAAUAAUCGGCACAAAAGACACCGCUUUCAUGGGCCCUAUGGUUUUACUUUCGGGAAACUAAAGUAACCAAUAUACCCAAAAAGGCUCAACAGAUUCGUAAGCCCAAAUCUCUUUUUCAUAAAACAAAUAAAUAAUUGUUGCACUUGUUUGGAAAGGUUGUUGCUCAGUCAUGGGGUUUUGAUCACUGGCGCACGCGCUUGCCAAAUUGAUCCAUUAUGAAUUCCCCACUAAUCAAGCUUGAAAUCAUGUCGAUAAGGCUAACAGGACACCCAAGAAUUUGAGCGUCAAGACAAGUUCAAGAAAUCUAGAGUACAUGGUAUCUGAAUUAAUUACGCAAUGUCAAUAUCUAAAUGGUCAUCUUGGACAGCUUAUCAACCUCCUAAAUAACAUGAGGAAUAUACUAGUGACUCAAAAUCAACCCAAUUACCUUUAACAACAUGAGGUAAAACCAAGAGUACAACCAUAAUUGACACGGACUAAAAUAUUAAAAAGUCGAAAAAUUUCAAAAGUAAGAUAAUAAAACAAGAUGAAUUACGUCGGAGUACUAAACAAUUUCGUUAUUACCUCAGACCAAGAAGUAGGAAGGUCGAAUUUAAGAAUGAACUGACAAGGUUUCUUGAUGAUCGAAAAGUAACAUCAUAAAUUAUUAAAACUACUAGGGAUCAAAAGUAAUUUCCCCAAAAUGUUCUUCCGUCGAUUGCUACCAUUUUAGAACCGUCGUUGCACAAGACAGCUUUAGAGUCUUGACAAGAAUAGACUUCGUAGGAAUUCUAAUAAAUGAUAUUCUAACAGGUACUACCAAAAAUCAAAACUAGCUGAUAUUUCCAAUCUCAAAAGGAACAAUACUAACGGCGGAAGAAUAAUGAUAGAAUUAUUUGGUAAGAAAUGAAACAUGCCAUACGAUGAAGUAUAAACACUACUAUUGGAACACCACAUGAGCGUAACAUUGGUUCAGCAUCAUGAUUAUUGAUUUUCACUUUCUCUACACAUACAAAAUACUUCAUACUGAGAGUGUAUAAUGAUACUUCCCAACUCCAUUCAUAUAACAAUUAAUCAUAAUCAUUCAAACCAUUUCUUGAUAGUGUUCAAAAGUAAUUAUGUCUUUUUCGUACAACCGGAAGAUACACUAUAGUGUACUCACAAUUGCUAAUUAAAUACUUUUACUACCACUGUCCGAACUUAGUUCAUUCCAAAAAGUGAAUGUAUUUAAGAAGUUCUAAAGUUGAUAAAGAAUUUGGACACGUUCUUCACAGAGAAAUGUUAUUCAAUUUCCAAGCAAAGAUGAUAAUUGUUAAAUUUAAAUCUCGGAUAAAAUAGUUCAUUCCAAAUGGUUCUAUACAUUGGUACGACUACUAUGAAUUCAACAAGCUUUACGAGAAAACUCUAAAUUCCCAAAAGUUUGUUACAUAGACCACCAAUUUGAAAUAGGAUUCGUGCCAAAAGAUGCAAGAAAACUAAUGUAGUACGAAAAAUUGAAUGGUGGUAUUCUCCCAGAUAUCGCCAAGGAAUCAAAACUAUUUUUGAUUUCUAUUCUCAAAAGGUUUAAUAAUGAUGGUUAACAAUCGUGAUGAGAUUGGUCCAUAAAUCCUUGGUGAUACACCAAUAAUGAUACCUUAACCCCACGUUAGGGCCAUCAACUAGUCUCAAUUCCACACCUUUCAUUGGCAGAAAAGUUCAUUGAUUAUAAUCUAGAGACAUUUGCCAUAAUGAUCUUCUAAAGAUUGACGAGUCAUCAAAUCUUCCCAAAACUUAGGAACAACUAACAUAUUUUCUGUUUUUGACGAGGUGGCAAGAUUCAAACAUUAGACUCGAGAACCAAGAAUGCUCACAUCAUGCGUGUGAGGAACGCAAUACUGCCCAACUUAUGCUCUAAUACCAAACUGACACACCUCAACCCGGAAUGUCCAUUAGGACUCCGAAUUGAGUUGCACUGGCCAAUACCAGGAAGGUGACGAAGCCAUAAAGUGUGAUGAUGUGGAAAAAUAUGAAUAAAUUUAAACCUAAGAGUGCCUAAAUACCAGAGUGCGCUGGUGAGCGGGAAGGAACCCACUUCACACGUGACGUUAGAGCAUAACUAAGUACAGUAGAGUGGAUUAAGAAUCGUACCUUCGAAAGAAUCUCCAAUACUAAGAAUCGCCACGAAUCUUCGACGAUAAGAAAGCUCAACUAAUAAAACCUGGAGGGUGAAAACAAAACAGGGGUGAAUGGCCCUAGAAAUGAAAUUUUAAUAGAAAUCAUAUAAACCAUUAUAACCCCUCGCUGCAACACCUGUAUAGUUUCCAGAAAAAUCAUACCACGUAUUAAUGUGAAAUCAAAAGUAUAUCAACUCUAAAUCCAUAAUUAUACAACAACAUAGCAUCUCAUCAGCAAUAUCAAUAAUCAUGUGAUUAAUAACCCAUACUAGCAUGCAAGUCGAAGUCACCUAUGAUGACCUGUACGACUGCACCCAUAUCUCAUCAAUCAACACUGGCAUAUAAGUCGAAGUCACUUAUAGUGACCUAUAUGACUUAUCCAUAUCUCAUCAAUCAACGCUAGCAUAUAAGUCGGAGUCACCUCUUGUGACUUGUACGACUCAUCUCAUAUUUCAUCACAUACGCAAGCUCAUCACAUAUUUCAUCACAUAUGCUAGCUCAUCAUAUACUUCACCACAUAUGCUAGCUCAUCACAUAUUUCAUCACGUAUGCUAGCUCAUCACAUAUUUCAUCACAUAUGCUCGCUCAUCACAUAUUUCAUCACAUACGCUAGAUCAUCACAUAUUUCAUCACAUAUGCUAGCUCAUCACAUAUUUCAUCACGUAGGCUAGCUCAUCACAUAUUUCACGACAUAUGCUAGCUCAUCACAUAUUUCAUCACAUAUGCUAGCUUAUCACAUAUUUUCAUCAUAUAUGCUAGCUCAUUACAUAUUUCACCACAUAUGCUAGCUCAUCACAUAAUUCAUCACAUAUGCUAGCUGAUCACAUAAUUCAUCACAUAUGCUAGCUCAUCACAUAUUUCACCACAUAUGCUAGCUCAUCACAUAUUUCAUCACAUAUGCUAGCUCAUCACAUAUUUCAUCACAUAUGCUAGCUGAUUACAUAUUUCACCACAUAUGCUAGCUCAUCACAUAUUUAAUCACAUAUGCUAGCUCAUCACAUAUUUCAUCACAUAUGCUAGCUCAUCACAUAUUUCACCACAUAUGCUAGCUCAUCACAUAUUUCAUCACAUAAGCUCGCUCAUCACAUAUUUCACCACAUAUGCUAGCUCAUCACAUAUUUCAUCACAUAGGCUAGAUAAUCACAUAUUUCACCACAUAUGCUAGCUCAUCACAUAUUUCAUCACAUAUAUAUAUAUGCUAGCUCAUCACAUAUUUUCAUCAUAUAUGCUAGCUCAUCACAUUUUUCACCACAUAUGCUAGCUGAUCACAUAUUUCAUCACAUAUGCUAGCUCGUCACAUAUUUCACCACAUAUGCUAGCUCAUCACAUAUUUCAUCACAUAUGCUGGCUCAUCACAUAUUUCACCACAUAUGCUAGCCCAUCACAUAUUUCAUCACAUAUGCUAGCUCAUCACAUAUGCCAACUCAUAAGUCGGGGUCACCUCUAGUGACCUAUACGACUUAUCCAUAGCUCAAUAAGUAUACCUGCACACGUCGGAACCACCUAAAGUGGUCUGUACGACAGGAUUGGAUGUAAAUAAAUACGCUCAAGUCCUACGAUCACAUGAAGACUGUUUGAAUAAUUGCAGGUCACCUAGGAGUCGGAACCACCUAUAGUGGUCAGUACGACAAGACUGUGCACCUACCUUGGAUCCAAGGUGAGCAUAAGGUGUGGGAGGUGAACAUCACGUGAAGGAUUGUGCCCUGGCCACGGGUGGGUGCACAAACACCGGGGUGCAGGUUUAUGAGCUCUCAAUAUAUCUCAACAUAACAUGUACGACUCAUGGGCAACCAGUACGACAGUAUCAGAGUUGCUUAAAACAUGCAUGUAGUCAUGCCAUAACUCCAUCAUUUCAACUAAUACCAUAAACUUACCUGAACUUACCAGGGUGUCCUGCGUUCACCUUUGUACUUCAAGCGUUCACAAUAAUUAUGUGCAGGUAAUAUACAUAUAGAUAAACCAUGAUGCAAUCUGAUACUCAAACAUGUCAUAGCAUUAUCAAUUAUAUACAUCCAUAUAUAUAUAUAUAUAUAAUAUGGCAUAAAAUGCAUAAGCUGUAGCGCCCUACUCUCGAACUAUUUAAUUUCAGAAAUAAUUAUCGGUGAUAAGCCCAACUAGACACUAGUUCAAUUAACUAUCAUUACUUACGUUUCCUUACUUCAAUUUCUUCCUUCUUCACACAUUGAUUUAUGACCAACAAUUAAUCACCAAUUAGUAAGGUUAACUCUCACACUUUCCACCAAUGUCCCUCACAUUACUCAAUUCCCUCACAAGACUAUUACCUCAAUUAUUUAGUCUCACUUCUUGUAUGGCUGCACCUAACGUCUCAUUAUACUGCCUACAUACCCUAAACAGAGAUCAAGCCAUUCGUAGUUCACAGUAGUAUUUCAAAGCAUUCAUCGUAAUCAUAAGCAAUAAUCAAUUUAUAAACAUUUAUUGAAUUGUCAAUGAUAUAUAUAUAUAUAUAAUACACGAUAGAAUGGAAAGGACCCACUGACUUGUGGUUCGUGCCACGACUCCUUAGCACGUAUAUUUAGA
rnacentral:lncRNA from 1 species